AUACGGAGGAUCCGAGCGUUAUCCGGAUUUAUUGGGUUUAAAGGGUGCGCAGGCGGGAGAUUAAGUCGGCGGUGAAAUUUUUCAGGUUCACUGUAAAAAUGCCUUCGAAACUGGGUUCCUUGAGUGGAGAAGGAGUAAGCGGAUUUUGGGGCGUCGCGGUGAAAUGCAUAGAUAUCACGAGGAACUCCGAUUGCGCAGGCAGCCUACUAAACUACUACUGACGCUCAGGCACGAAGGCGUGGGGAUCAAACAGGAUUAGAUACCCUGGUAGUCCACGCAGUAAACGAUGAUUACUAGCUGUUUGCGAUACAAUGUAAGCGGCUGAGCGAAAGCGUUAAGUAAUCCACCUGGGGAGUACGUUCGCAAGAAUGAAACUCAAAUGAAUUGACGGGG
rnacentral:rRNA from 1 species